UGAGGAAUAUUGGUCAAUGGGCGGGAGCCUGAACCAGCCAAGUCGCGUGAGGGAAGACGGCCCUACGGGUUGUAAACCUCUUUUGCCGGGGAGCAAGGGGGGCCACGCGUGGCCCGGCGAGAGUACCCGGAGAAAAAGCAUCGGCUAACUCCGUGCCAGCAGCCGCGGUAAUACGGAGGAUGCGAGCGUUAUCCGGAUUUAUUGGGUUUAAAGGGUGCGUAGGCGGCGCCUCAAGUCAGCGGUAAAAACACGGGGCUCAACCCCGCGGAGCCGUUGAAACUGAGGUGCUCGAGUGGGCGAGAAGUAUGCGGAAUGCGUGGUGUAGCGGUGAAAUGCAUAGAUAUCACGCAGAACCCCGAUUGCGAAGGCAGCAUACCGGCGCCCUACUGACGCUGAAGCACGAAAGCGUGGGUAUCGAACAGG
rnacentral:rRNA from 1 species